GAUGAACGCUGGCGGCGUGCCUAAUACAUGCAAGUCGAGCGAAUGGAUUAAGAGCUUGCUCUUAUGAAGUUAGCGGCGGACGGGUGAGUAACACGUGGGUAACCUGCCCAUAAGACUGGGAUAACUCCGGGAAACCGGGGCUAAUACCGGAUAACAUUUUGAACCGCAUGGUUCGAAAUUGAAAGGCGGCUUCGGCUGUCACUUAUGGAUGGACCCGCGUCGCAUUAGCUAGUUGGUGAGGUAACGGCUCACCAAGGCAACGAUGAGUAGCCGACCUGGGAGGGUGAUCGGCCACACUGGGACUGGGCCACGGCCCAGACUCCUACGGGAGGCAGCAGUAGGGAAUCUUCCGCAAUGGACGAAAGUCUGACGGAGCAACGCCGCGUGAGUGAUGAAGGCUUUCGGGUCGUAAAACUCUGUUGUUAGGGAAGAACAAGUGCUAGUUGAAUAAGCUGGCACCUUGACGGUACCUAACCAGAAAGCCACGGCUAACUACGUGCCAGCCGCCGCGGUAA
rnacentral:rRNA from 1 species